CGGGUGCGGUAUACACGUCGCUUUUACACGCCACCGUCCAGUGCACGGUGAAGCGAAGGGCUAGUGUGUGCGCGUGUGUGUGUGUGUGUGCUAUCUAACAUCCUUUUCCCAGGGACGCUGGCAACGUUCCUGGAGCUCGCCAGCGCGCCUCGCGUUCGGGUUUUCGAGGGUGAAUCCAGGCUGCCAGGGAACAGCACUGCUCACAGAACGGCCCGGGGUAUAGACAUCCCUUUUUACUACGAGGCUUCCUCCCCCCACACACUCUCACGCUCUCAGUCGCUCUCUCUCUCGUCCUUUUCCUGCGCUGAACAGAUCACCGAGCCGAGCCAUCGCAGCAGCCCGUUUCGCAGCCCGUUUCGGGAGGUGUGGUCGUGAUGUGAAAUUUUUCCAGUAACCAGUCACGAGCGGGAGUUCGGUGCGUGUACAUUUCGUCCAGUGCGGUUAAGCCCCCGUGUCGUUAUCGUAGUCUCGGUUUGCCGUGAGAAAUAGUAGAACGUGGGUUUUUUUUAUUUCGUUGCCUUUCGUUCAACUGUACUGCCUUGAAGGAAGUAGUUUGGUGUCGCCCGUUAGUUCGUGCUCGGUGUUGCUGGAGAGGUGGACGUUACUUUUUGGUGCGCGCAGUUGUGUGAAAGCAGAUAGACAAAUUGGUAGCAGCGGCUACAAAACAGGCAAAUGGUGUAUACUCGCAUCGAAGAGCAUUCGUGGAACGCUGGAACAAAAGGUCUCCUUCUACACGGGAAGGGAGUAGGAGAGCUACGGUUUAACAAUCAAAUUGUAGGACAGUCUGCGUUCGCUUGCGACGGGGCAGAGAAGCAUGGAGGCGAAAGAUGUAAAACAUUACGAACAAUACAA